rnacentral:rRNA from 1 species
GACGAACGCUGGCGGCGUGCCUAAUACAUGCAAGUCGAACGAGAGCGACCGGUGCUUGCACUGGUCAAUCUAGUGGCGAACGGGUGAGUAACACGUGGGUAACCUGCCCAUCAGGAGGGGAUAACAUCCGGAAACGGAUGCUAAAACCGCAUAGGUCUUCGAGCCGCAUGGCUUGAAGAGGAAAAGAGGCGCAAGCUUCUGCUGAUGGAUGGACCCGCGGUGCAUUAGCUAGUUGGUGAGGUAACGGCUCACCAAGGCCGUGAUGCAUAGCCAACCUGAGAGGGUGAUCGGCCACAUUGGGACUGAGACACGGCCCAAACUCCUACGGGAGGCAGCAGUAGGGAAUCUUCCGCAAUGGACGCAAGUCUGACGGAGCAACGCCGCGUGAGUGAAGAAGGUUUUCGGAUCGUAAAACUCUGUUGUUAGAGAAGAACAAGUGCUAGAGUAACUGUUAGCGCCUUGACGGUAUCUAACCAGAAAGCCACGGCUAACUACGUG